GGUUAGGUGGGUACAGGGAGGGCGGGACCACUUCAGUUUCUAUCCCAGCCCCCCUCGGGUCUGGGCUUUAUAAAAGGUUGUGAGCCCGGCGUCCCCUGCAGUUGCUGAGGAUCUCGCAUACCUCCAACCUCCGCUGCGAGUGAGCUGCCAACCGCCACACCAGAGACACGACAGCAGCUAAGUGACUGGUGGGCUGAGAUGGGUGUCAGUUGAGCAGGUUUAAGUAAAAUGAGGACCACACCUAACCUCGGACUGACUGCUCCGUCAGCCUUGGGACAGAAAUGGACAAGUCCAAAGAAAAGCUUUACCAAGCUGGCCCAUCAUAUACUCAGGAUAAGGACUGCCCUGUGGUGAUUGAUUCUGAGUCUAAUGAUGAACAUAUUCAUAAGAAAAAGAAAGUUAAGAUGUACAAAAUAAGCAGUGAAGAUGAGAUUUUGGAAGUGAUUUCUGACACUGAGGAGGAGCAGCUCCCCACCAGCACCCCAAAGUCUCCAGGAGUAAUUACUAUUAUUGAUGAUGAUGGCAACAAUAACAAAUUGGAAAUUCCUGUGCUAAAAGAAGGGGGUUCCCAUGAUCACAGCCAAAUUUAUUCAGAUAAAAAAGAAGUGGAUGAGUGUGUUGUCUCCCAGCACAAUUCACCUGAUAAUGUUCAUAAGAAGCAGGAUCUUGGUGAAAAUGUCAAUCAACCACCAACUGAUCCUUAG
rnacentral:lncRNA from 1 species